CUCUCUCUCUCUCUCUCUCUCUCUCUCUCUCUCUCUCUCUCUCUCUCUCUCUGGAAUGACCUAACAGGCUAACAAUCGCUUACAUAAUAUUUCUCAUUAAUCUUUAACAUAAUAAUUAAGGUCCUUAAUUUGGCAUACCCAGCGCCUAGGCUAUCAUCUAUGACGAAUAUUUUACUAUAUAUUAUACCUAUGCUAAGCUUUAUAAAUACCUCCUUUACCUACUGAUAUAAGAAAAUCUAAUGUUGGUUCUUGAUUUAAAGGUCCAUAGUUUUAAAGGUCUCUGGCUUCCAUUACUACCUACUUAUAUAAGCAAGUUCAAUGUUCGAUCUUGGUUUAAAGGUCCCUAGUUUUAAAAGUCUCUGGCUUCCAUUACUACCUACUGAUAUAAGCAAGUUUAAUGUUCGAUCUUGGUUUAAAGGUCCACAGUUUUAAAGGUCUCUGGUUCCCAUUACUACCUACUGAUACAAGCAAGUUUAAUGUUCGAUCUUAAUUUAAAAGUCCAUAGUUUUAAAGGUCUCUGGCUCCCAUUACUACGUACUACUGAUAUAAGCAAGUUCAAUGUUCGAUCUUGGUUUAAAGGUCCACAGUUUUAAAGGUCUCUGGUUCCCAUUACUACCUACUGAUAUAAGCAAGUUUAAUGUUCGAUCUUGGUUUAAAGGUCCAUAGUUUCAAAGGUCUCUGGCUUCCAUUACUACCUACUUAUAUAAGCAAGUUUAAUUUUCGAUUAGACUUCAAAGGUCCAUAGCUUUAGAGGUUUGUGGCUCCUAUUACGACUAUCUACUGAUGUGAGCAAGUUAAUGUUCCAGCUGAAUCUUAAGUGUAUUGGAGUGAAAGUAUUGGAAUGCAUAUCUCGUGCAUGCAUACGUCUGCUGGACCUUUCAUCGCUAGCUUCACAGCUGUUUCGACCUCGACAUAUUGGUAGUGUCGUGCGACAUUCGAUUUUUUCCGUAAUCGAUUCUUUCAAUUACUUCUGAGAGUCAGUAUUCAACUAUUUCGAUUAUUUAUGUAGUCAUUAAUCAAUUCUUCCGAUUACUUCUGUGCUCAGUAAUCAAUUACUUCCAUGAUUUCUGUGGUCAGUAAUCAAUGACUCACUCAGAAUGAUGCAUCCAUGGCUCCAC